GGGCCCGUAGCUCAGAUGGUUAGAGCGCGUCCCUGAUAAGGACGAGGUCAGUGGUUCGAUCCCCCUCGGGCCCACCA
rnacentral:tRNA from 2 species